CCUCAGCCUCCCGAGUAGCUGGGACUACAGGCAACUGCUGUGUUUCUCAAAACCAAACUGCAGGAUUGGGCUGCACCAUGAACUGGGCUAGGCAUCUGAGAUCAGACCCAGGCUCAGCUCCUGCUUCCUGGCUUGUUCUGCCACCCUUGGUCUGUGCCCUCAUCCCUGGAGCCCCAAUUGCCUCAUCCCUAAUGGGGUGUCCUUGUUCAUAUUGAGGUUCUCUGCUGAAGGCUUACAGUCAGGUACGACUGCAAAUUAACGUUUCACAAAUCAAA